AUGAAGGAAACCCUACAUAUUUUAAAAACUCUCUCAGUUUCUCUCUCCUCCCCAUCCGACCCUCUCUCUCGUUUGUUUCUACCAAGAACCCUGAUGACCACUCCAGCCACCACCUCUGUAGACGCGUGACACCAGGAGCAUCGCAAGCCGCUGAAUCCCCCAGCCCCAUGAGCUCAACAACACACGUGCCGUCCUCCAAGCAACUAGCCAAUUGAAGUUCCGCCGCCGUCGACACUUCCAGACGUCUUUUCGGCGAGUUCCAACCUUAUUUUGGCUGGUGAGUGGUACAACUGAACUCAGGGCUUCAUGGUGAACAAAACCCAACAAAGGUUUAUGUCGCGGGAUUUCACUUUGGGAGCUCAUCAGAAUCUCGGCAAUUCUGAGAUGUUUUGGCUUCAAUUCGACCACCAUGUGUCUUUCCAAGAGAACCACCGCCACCACGGUGCUCCCCGAGACUUGGGCUUCGAAGCCCAAUAGUCGUCGGAGCCCCGCCGUGAGUCUUGGGCAGCCACCAUUUUUGGUACCCCGGAGUUCAUUUUGAGCUCCAAAGCUCACCAUCGAGCUCGUAUCGCUCUCCCGAGCGUUGGUAGGUUCGUGUGAUGAAUCAUGAGAAAAAUGCAAAAUGAAGUUAAAUGGUGGAAAAAUGAGGCUUUUGGUGGUUAUUGGACUAAAAAAGAUACCAAGGAUGCUUAAAGGAUCGUUUUUGAGGAAGAGAGAUGAGCUGAAGGAUUAAAUCCGAGAAAAAUUGAAUUAAAGUCGCGACUUGGACUUUAGAGUCACGACUUGAGGUGACGUCAGAGACGUAUAUGUUGCUGGAUAGAAUUAGUGUCGCGACUUGGGCUUACAAGUCGCGACUCAAGAGGAGAUAGAGGCCUAGCUAAGGGAAAACGCAGACACGGGCCGCGACUUGAGAAGCUGAAGCCGCGGCGUCUAAAGGCAUUAUACUAAAGGAAAAGGGCCCAAAAUAGACACGACUGCGACUCAAAAAAGGCCAAGUCGCGGCCCGCACAAGGAAAAACUCAUAAGCUUUUAAUUUUUGUACUAUAAAUUCGUGUUUAGGGAUUAAUUAAGUCAUUAGGUCAGUUUUUAAUUACGUUUUUUAGAGUCUAAUUGUAGUUCUUAGGUUAAAUAUUCUGCAGUUUCAUAUUUUUAUUUCUUCUUCAAGUUUAUGGAUAAUUAUUUUGUUGAUUUAGUCAUGUCUGAUAUGAACUAAAUACUUUUUAUCUAGUGUUUAAUGUAGUCACUUGGAUUUCAAUCUAAUUGAAUUAUGAUAUUCUUUUGAUUUUUCUCUA